rnacentral:rRNA from 1 species
GAUGAACGCUGGCGGCGUGCCUAAUACAUGCAAGUCGAGCGAACGGACGAGAAGCUUGCUUCUCUGAUGUUAGCGGCGGACGGGUGAGUAACACGUGGACAACCUACCUAUAAGACUGGGAUAACUUCGGGAAACCGGAGCUAAUACCGGAUAAUAUUUUGAACCGCAUGGGUCAAAAGUGAAAGACGGUCUUGCUGUCACUUAUAGAUGGAUCCGCGCUGCAUUAGCUAGUUGGUAAGGUAACGGCCUACCAAGGCAACGAUGCAUAGCCGACCUGAGAGGGUGAUCGGCCACACUGGGACUGAGACACGGUCCAGACUCCUACGGGAGGCAGCAGUAGGGAAUCUUCCGCAAUGGGCGAAAGCCUGACGGAGCAACGCCGCGUGAGUGAUGAAGGUCUUCGGAUCGUAAAGCUCUGUUAUUAGGGAAGAAAAUAUGUGUAAGUAACUGUGCACAUCUUGACGGUACCUAAUCAGAAAGCCACGGCUAACUACGUG